UUUUUUUUUUGUCACUGUAUUUAUACAGACAUUAUGCUGUCUUAUUAUCUUCCUUUACUGUAUUAUCUUUACUGGCUUUAUCCUUAAUUUUUAGUUUUGGCUCCUACUAAUGAAGUUUUCCCACUCUUGUAAAAGCUGUAGAUCAUAUUACAAUUCUAAUGCAUCUUUUUCCAUACCGUUUUCUGUGUUUCUACUUCCCUUCCCCACUGUCAUAUCCUAGUAGAUAGCAUCUUGAUGAAAAAAUUAUCAAGACUGUUCUACAAGAAAUCUGUCAUCAGGCUUGAACUCACCCAACAUGAUGAGUCAUAUGGAGCUGGUUAUUUCCUGGUGAAUAGCAAGAAGCAAGCAAAAAUUAUCAUUUGAAUAAAACAAUCUGAAAAACAAAACCAAGAGAUCUAUGAAAGUCAAAGACAAUCUACCAGUUUUGUGCUAGAAAAAAUGAGCUGAAUUCCAAGUCCCUCCUAGGUUCAUCAGAGCCAAAGACUCUGAAGAUUACAUAUGAUUACCAUAUGAUAGAUGGUAAAUCUGAAGACUGAAGAAUUUGACAUGAAUUUCAAAUAUCAGCAAACAGAAACAGAACUUCAACAACUAGAUUUGUGUAUCCCAGUAGUGAAGAAGACUGUGUCCCUCCCCACUAUGUUGAUUGUUGUUGUUUAGUUUGCAUUUUAACACUUUCAAGUUGCCCUUUUUUGAAUUGCAUUGAUGCAUAAAUAAGCAGUCAUGGUAUAUAGGCUAUAUGAUUUAUAUAUAUAUAUAUACACACACACAUAUGUAUAAAAAUCUUAUAUAUUUUAUCUAUAAGCUGAUGAAGUGAGAAAGUAAACAAUCUAAAAUAUUUAUGCCCAGUACUAUUGCUAAGAGACAAAUUAUUUUUAAUCUCCAACAUCAGCUCUUUCCUUAGGGCUUCCAGUAUCUCUUCAGCUUUGCUUUGUGUCAUUUUAACAAUGCUGUUACAGUCAAAGCAGUGCAAACCUUCUAAAAUCAACAUAGUAACCUGUGAAGUAGGAGGAAAACUAUAUUAAUAAAGGUCAUCAUUCUACAUACAGGUACAAGCAUAGAGCUAGGUGACUGAAAUGAAUAUUUACUUUAGUUUUAUUUUAAUCCUCUGGGAGUUCAUUAACACCCCUCUCAAAUGUUAGUGUUCAAAUUCUGCCUAUGACAGAGCAAACGAGAGAGAACAAAAAAAAGAUUUAAUAGAAGAUAUUUUCUGGGGUCGUGCAAAUGCAGCUGAGGCAAUACUAUGUUUUUCUGGGUUUCCCAUGUUUUCAUGUAUUAGAAGAAAGAAGAAGAAAAGAAUAUGGAUUUCCCUCUUGAAAAAAACACUUCUUAUGAGGGUAAAUGUAUCGCCUAGACAGGUAUAAUGAAUGCAAUUCACUAAAAUUGUACAGUCUCCUCAUCACAGAUUAUAGUGAGCAGGAAGGAAGAACACUGUUGUGGAGCUGUUUCAGAAAUUGAUUGCACAAAUUACAUCUUUUGCUUGUUUGUAAAUCUCAUUUCAGUAAGACAGUUAAUACAGAUGUUGUUGCUAAUAAAGAAAAUGAUGGCAAACAAUUACAGUCUUAAGUUGUCCCUGAGUAAGGUGGUCAUCCUUGCCUAAAUUUUCAGUGUUUUCUGUAAAUGAUCAAGAAUGGUGGCUACUAUAUAUGUCCUGAAUGAUUGAAAAAUCUAUGGAUAAUGCUUUUUAAACUAAAAAAAUAUUGUUUUCACUCAUCACUCCCGAAUCACUCUCCGAGAAUUUUGCUUUUGAAGCUGAAUUUCCUAUCACUGAAUUGUUUUUUGUAUAUAUUGCUCAUGUAAAUAUGCACAUUUUAUUUGCAUUCAGAGGAAAGACUUAAGAUAGAAUGUGUCUUUGUGUACUAACUGACUAAAACUGAAAAAUUGACUCUCUCCAGACUGUAAUAUGAAUCCAACUAAAUGCUAUGUCCUGGACAUCCUAGAAGGUUAGCUUUCCCUUUCUGUCUGUGUGCGUGUCUGCAAUACUAGUCUGCAAAUGUUAAUACUGUGGAACUGUGUCAGUACGUGCUUAUCUAAACUAAGAGAACUCAUGAAAAGUUUGUCUUGAUGGUGCAUUAAUACUUGGGUUUUAUAUAUAUAUAAAUAUAUAUAUAAUCAAGUACAGAGCUUCCAUAACAUUAUUGGGCCUGUUUUGAAAACUAUAAUAUAUGCAUUGCUGCAGAGCAAAAGAAAAUUCUCUAAGUUACAGAUGGUCACUAAAUUGACAAUAUAUUUACUGAAGCAUAAAUUUCCAACCCACUGAAACUCUACUCUCCAUGUGCUCAAGAGACUGCUGGAAUAACACAAAGCGACAAUAUGCAUGGGUAUGCAGGCAAACAUAUGAUGCAUACAGCAUAUGUUAUACCUUAGCUUCAUAUUCAGCUGAAGUGAAUUGAUAGAAAAAAAAUAAUGCUCAUAGUAAAAGAUCUUUUUGGUACAAUAAAACCCAAUUUAAGAAGGCUGAAAGAUGUAGCUAUUCAGAUCUUUAUGUGAGUCAUACUGUGCUGCUAGUCACACACAUGCAGAAGGUUCCUAUAGCUUUCACACAGUUAUGUGUGACAAAAGUCAAUACUAAGAUCAGCACCUUUCUUCCUGACCAUAACCACUACCAUUCUGUUCUAAAUAAUGACACUCUAGGCUUCUGAUAUGUUUCUUUAAACUAUGCAAGUUUGUACUUGUUCUCUAAACAUAAAUUCAUAUUUACACAGUGCAUAUGGAAUUACAGAUAUGCAUUGGACUAUAAAUGAAAACAUAUGGUUCCUAAAGCCAGUGCAGAUAAGUAACGUCAAAAUAGCAUGCACAUCCAUUCACAUAAUCAACAUAAACAAGUAGGACAAGAGAAACUGUCACAUAACCCACAUCCGCUGUCACAUAUCUAUAUACACAUAUACACACACCAACUGUGCUACUUUAAUAUUAAUGUGAACAAGUGUUUCCAAGUUCUACACAUAGAUAUUGUUUCUCCUCAUUCCACUGGAACAUGGUUUAGAAAUUUGGACUCUGCUGAAAAUUGGGUGCUUAAGCAUUUGUUUAUAAUUGUCUUGCUUUUUAAUAGAUGUUGCUGGGUUAUUUUUCCAGUGGUUAUUUUCUCAUGUACAUUCUUUGGUGCAAAGGCUGAGGUGUAAGGAUAGAAAGGGAACAUAUUAUGUGCCUGAAUACAGCUGCCUAAUACCCUUUACCUCCUGCUCCAAAAGGGCAGGGGUUUCUUAUAUGUCUCAUUUUAUAUCUGUCAGACCUGUUCAUGUGACUGAGAUACCACAGGCUGUCUAGUACAGCACUGGAUGCCUAUAUUUAUGGACUGGUAUUGCUUAUAUAGUAGCAAAUGGACUUACUGAUUCCUAAUUUUCAUUUGUUUUAUGAAGUGCCGCAGCUAUUGCUACCCUCAACCCAAAUGCACAUCUCCAAACUUCUGCUUUUGGGCCCCUGAAGAUCAAGGCAAGGAAGAGUCAGAAACAAAUAGAAUACAGGGAAACUGGGGAAAAACUGCCCAGUAAAAUGUGAUGCUUUAACACGACAAACUAAAUAAAAUAUUUGUAUUAUUAUUUUUUUUCUACAGCAUUACUUUUUCCUUCUUCUGGAAUGGAGGAGAAACUUCAAAUCUGAGUAAAUCUCUCUCUUGUCUCAAAAUUACUUAGGCCAUAAUCACUGAAAAAUUUCGACUGAAAGCUACUUCUUGGUUUAGAGACAGAGCUUUAUAAGAAAACAAGACAUUCUUCUCUUUCUCUGGAAGGUCAAGAGUAACGCUCUCACCCAAGAUGUUAGAGGCCUAUAUUUAGUUCUCAGGAGACUAAGGUCACUGUCUGUCAAAAUCCUUUACCCAAAUCACCACUAUGAACUGG